UACGGGGGGCAAGCGUUGUUCGGAAUUACUGGGCGUAAAGGGCUCGUAGGUGGCCAACUAAGUCAGACGUGAAAUCCCCAGGCUCAACUUGGGAACUGCGUCUGAUACUGGAUGGCUUGAAUUCGGGAGAGGGAUGCAGAAUUCCAGGUGUAGCGGUGAAAUGCGUAGAUAUCUGGAGGAAUACCGGUGGCGAAGGCGGCAUCCUGGACCGAGAUUGACACUGAUGAGCGAAAGCUAGGGGAGCAAACGGG
rnacentral:rRNA from 1 species